rnacentral:rRNA from 1 species
AAGCUAAUACCGCAUACGACCUACGGGUGAAAGGGGGCUUUUAGCUCUCGCUAUUAGAUGAGCCUAAGUCGGAUUAGCUGGUUGGUGGGGUAAAGGCCUACCAAGGCGACGAUCUGUAGCUGGUCUGAGAGGAUGAUCAGCCACACUGGGACUGAGACACGGCCCAGACUCCUACGGGAGGCAGCAGUGGGGAAUAUUGGACAAUGGGCGAAAGCCUGAUCCAGCCGUGCCGCGUGUGUGAAGAAGGCCUUUUGGUUGUAAAGCACUUUAAGUGGGGAGGAAAAGCUUAUGGUUAAUACCCAUAAGCCCUGACGUUACCCACAGAAUAAGCACCGGCUAACUCUGUGCCAGCAGCCGCGGUAAUACAGAGGGUGCAAGCGUUAAUCGGAAUUACUGGGCGUAAAGCGCGCGUAGGUGGUUAUUUAAGUCAGAUGUGAAAGCCCCGGGCUUAACCUGGGAACUGCAUCUGAUACUGGAUAACUAGAGUAGGUGAGAGGGGAGUAGAAUUCCAGGUGUAGCGGUGAAAUGCGUAGAGAUCUGGAGGAAUACCGAUGGCGAA